UUUGCGGCAUUCCCUCGACAAUCACUGGAUGAUCCCUCAAGCCGACUUAGCUUGUUUUCUUCGGAUUUUCCUGAGUUAUUUUCUUCAACCCCUUAUUCAGGGGAUUUCUGCUUUCCAACUCAGGAUCCAGUUAUUGGGGAGAGUUCAAGACCUCGAUCUCAACCUCCUGAUUUAAAUAUAUCUAUGGCUGACGAUGAUGUUGGAAAUUCUCAAGAAGCUCAACAGGAGCCAUCAUUUGACGGGCGUCGAUACAACACAAGACGCUCAAAUGAGAGGAGACCACGACAUUGUGGCACCGGCGGUCAUUUACAUGGUCAUCA
rnacentral:lncRNA from 1 species